rnacentral:rRNA from 1 species
UACGGGGGGGGCAAGCGUUGUUCGGAAUUACUGGGCGUAAAGGGCUCGUAGGUGGCCAACUAAGUCAGACGUGAAAUCCCCAGGCUCAACUUGGGAACUGCGUCUGAUACUGGAUGGCUUGAAUUCGGGAGAGGGAUGCAGAAUUCCAGGUGUAGCGGUGAAAUGCGUAGAUAUCUGGAGGGAUACCGGUGGCGAAGGCGGCAUCCUGGACCGAGAUUGACACUGAGUGAGCGAAAGCCAGGGGAGCAAACGGG